UUUAUCAUGUUGUCUCUUGUCUGUUUCUAGCUUUUUCUUUGUUUGUCUCUGUACAAAUUAUUUUUUAAAAGGUCAAAUCACAGUUUUAAUUUCUUCAUACCAACUAAUUUUCUUUUUCUUUUUUAUUUCUAGAAGAAAACCCUCCCCCCCAAAAAAACUUAUAAAAACCUCAAAAAAAAAAAACAAAACGAAAAAAAUAAAAAUAAAAAGAAGAAAACCCUCCCCCCAAAAAACUAAUAAAAACCUCAAAAAAUAAAAAAAAUAAAAAAAAUAAAAACGGGAAAAAAAAAAAAGAAGAAAACCCUCCCCUCAAAAAAACUAAGAAAACCCCCAAAAAAAUAAAAAAACGCAAAAAAAAGAGAAAGAAAAAAAACUACCUCCAAAAAACAAAAAAAAAAAAAAGAAAUAAAUCCCUACAAAAAUGAGAAAAUGUCAAGAUCAUAAUUUGUAAUACAGGGAUAAGCCCUGGGGAACCCACCACCUGCAGUGCCUGGGCUAUUGAUCACCCCAUAGGAAUGAUUACAUUUCGAUUACCAUAUAGCAUGGGACAUUUUCGCUACUUUAGUGGACCCAAUGAGGAAAUCGGGGACUGGAGGAUAUUAUACAUAAGAACUUCAUUGACAUAUUUGUCCCAUUCUUCCCCAUGGAGUUUCAGCACGUGAAGAUGUGUGUGAAGGCGGAGCUUGCGCGUCGCAGCAUGACGACAGAUGAAGAGACGGCAGCCAUCAUUGCCAGAGACAUGACCUAUUACUCCCCUGGGCUGCAAAACUGUAUUACUAUGAUGGAUGACGGAUCCAUAUUCCUCCACCAUGCGGCCUUUAUUCCUCGCCUGCUCAUUGGCCAAUAAAGAGAUGACAUUUUCUCAGACCAUAAAACUAACUUGUCGCAUAUGUUUACUGAGUCCCAUAUUGUUCCCUAAAGUGGACAGACAUUUUAGAUGCAGACCGCUCAGUGAAUGCUGAGUUUUUCCAGUAAGAUGAUCCCUAUUGAUAAAGAUGUGAAUAUACAAGUAAUGAUGAAUUGGUUUCUAUGUGAAUGCUGAAUAAUUCUUAUACCAUUAAUGGAAAUCUGUCACCAGUGUCACCUGCACCAACCUGUCGGU